UAUGCAAAUUGUUUUAUUUAAAAAAAAAUAUAUUUGAGAUAAGCGAAUAAUAAUAAAUUAUUCGGUAAAUUAUUUUUAUACAAUAUUUAUUUAAAUGAAUAUAAUGCAUUAUUUCUUUACUUGAUUACUUGAUUACAAAUGACACGUACAAAGGAACUAUUGAAUAUAGAAUUGCGAUGUUUUAUGAGCCUUAAAUUAAUUUUAUUAUGACCGGUUCACAUUACUCUAGUAGCCUAUUCCAGUCCAGCGAUCUCAUCCAGCGCUCCAACUCAAAUCAUGUUAACGGUGUUUUAGUUCACGUACUGAAUCAAGUGUGCAAUAUUAAAAUUCUCUAAACGCAAAAUAAUGUAGUGUGCUUAGUCCAUACCAUUUGGGAUUCACAUUGCAUUGACAAGUAUCGUGAUGUGACAGACGGCGAUUGGACUCAUAUAUUGUUGUACACAAUCUCUAACCAAAUUAAAUUGCCUAAAAUACUAACUAAAAAAUCUUGUUCUAUACUUUUCCGCGUAGACCAUAGUGAAAGGCCAAGCAAUACAAUUAUAACGGUCAUUUCUGUUUAGUUUAGAGAUUGUAUUCAGCAGAAUCAGCCACAUUUUACAUGAAGACUGGCACACUUGUCUUGUUCCGAUUGCAACACACUUUUCGCUGCAACACACACUACAUACACAGUAAUGUUUGUUUCAAUUAUCUGUAAAUUAGUAUUAUGUAGACGACGCUUUCCAUUUCAGUCAAUGCUGAAAAACCCUUACUUGACUCGGGCAGCGACUAGAAACUAGAAUAAUGUGCACUAGCCAUAAAACUUAACAAUAUUACAACAUAAUCAUUCAUGACCCGACAUCGGACUGCAUGCAUUCACAAAUUUACAUAUAAAAUACUAAAACAUAUACACCGCCUUCGAUCUCCGUAAAGUAAACGCAAGUAACUCAAAAUAUGUGAAUUUUUACAAUGUGACAUAAGUUUGGCAGUUAUGACAAUUUAUAAUGAAACAUUUAAUACAAAUUAGACGCUAUGUAGUAUUCAGCUGUUCGAUUGCGGUUGAAUGACAGUUACAAUGUCACGAUCGCAAUCAGCUCUGAUUGGUUGACGCUCGCUCACUAUUCAAUCCGUUAUUGCAACAAGAAUACUAUAAAUUCAGCCCACAACAAUUACGAUUGUAAUAAUGAUUGAUGCAGGUUUUCUAGAAUACCUACUGGUAUUCAGAAAACAAGCCAAAAUUUAGUGGCAAGUUCUUACAGAAGUCACUAUCAUUGCCAUAUCAAUUUCUACACGUUUUUAGGCUGAAAUCUAUAGAGUGUACUUUGACUUUGCUCAGAUUAAGCUAAAGUUAAAACGAGACGGUUUUAUGUCAGCAGGCUUGUUGUAAUAGCGCUGUCUCGUUUUAACAAUGUCUUAAGUCUAAGCAAAGUCAAAGUGUGCUCUAUAGAUCUCAACCUUAGACUACAAAACAUGCAAGAAGUUGAGUGGCUGUGAGUUGUACACCAAGUGAACACCCGUGAAUUCUGCAAGAAAUUGCGGAAGGCUAACAAACUGUAAAGUUGCUAAACAUUAACAGUAAUUUGAUUGAAAAUCGGACCAUAAUAUGCAUAUGCGCAAAUGCAUACAAACAACGCAUGUAAGCUAGGUAUACCCUUCAAUCUUAUCAACUAGGUAGUUCAAACUAAUAUUUUCAUGGCAAUAAUAUUUGGUAAAUACGUUUUUACAAGUUGCGAAGUAGAUGACGAGACAUUAAACUCUGCGUUAGUUAAUUAUUAUUAGACACGCCACGUUCAGUAUUUGUAGUUUUAGACAACUGAGAUCGAUGUCGAGUAGUUAUAGGCUGAGAUCUAUAGAGCGGACUUUACUUUGCUCAGACUUAAGACACUGUUAAAACGAGACAACGUUAUACCGCUGGCUUAAAUCUGUCUCGUUUUAACGGAAGCUUAAGGGUGAGGCCAAACGGACGUAAUUUUUUGAGUUGUAAGUCGCGUAAUUUCGGUUGCGUAAUUUCUGCUGCAUUCAGUUUCAUACAAAAGUUCAACUCAUUUUGCGUCGCCGUGUGGCACGAACUGGACUUUUGUAUGAAACCGAAUGCAGCAGAAAUUACGCGACCGAAAUUACGCGACUGACAAUUCACAAAAUUACGCUCGUUUGGCCUCGACCUUAGUCUGUCUCGUUUUGUCUGAGCAAAGUCAAAGUACACUUUACAGAUCUCAGACUAAAGAGGUUGUGAACCUAUUGUGUAUAUGUGACUAUUAUAGUGAUAAAUACAGAUUGUUACACAAUUUAGAGAGAAAAUCUUAAAGAAAAUCUUAAACAGAAGAGAUACGCAAGAUUAAUGAACUGUAUGCGCGCGAUCUAGUAGCAUGAGUCACAACACGAGAACGUUGAUCGAUUUCGGACAUAGAAAUAAUGUUAGAAUGAAAUAUACUUAGGGGCGAUUUUUCAAUCGUGAAAUAACUUUUAUCUGAGGAAUAUAAAUAGCCGCUAUAAAUGUAUCGACGAACUUGAACCAUAAAACAAGAAAAUUAAGCUCCAUUUUACUUUGACAUUUGUGUUUCUAUACUCGAAAUCUAUCAGCGUGUAAACUCGUACUAAAACCUGUAUGCAAUAGAAACAAAAUAAAACUGAAAGAUCACAUUAUGAUUAAUCGAGAACAAAUAAAAUUCUACAUUAUGGCAGUGUGAAUUAG